UCGGCCAUUUUGUGGACGCUCGGACAUAAACAUUGCGAGUGAACGGAAUGUGACUCGGUCGUAAAAGUUAUUACCAAUAAAGGAGAAAAGAGCAACAAACUGUCAGAGGAAAGAAUGCAUUUGUGGAUUACCAGACUGUACCAGGAUUUUCAGGGUCAAAUAUCUGACCUGCACAAAAAGGAUGAUCCAGAUUGGGGGCCAUGCCUUAAUAUGAGAGGAAGGACUCAUUGACAUCAAGUUACAAACGGCGUGUGAAUUGAGCCCAGCAGAAACACAAGGAUGCUUCUGCCCAUUCUUUGCUUCUUAUGGACACAGCAGAUGAUUAUGAUUGAGCAUCAAGUGACUAUAUCAGCGAUAAUAUCUGCAGUGACUGGUGACAUUAUUGAUUCUAUGACCAGUGAACUUCAAAAUCUGAGAACGAAAACAUUCAGUUGCAAAUAUUGUCCUCUUCAUAUGAUGUGCAAAUGAGUGAAUUUGAGGGUAAAGAUGAAAAGGUUUUAUUAUUCAUUGGUCUGCCUAAAUAUCAGAUUUUGUUAGCAAUGUUUACAUACCUUCAUCUCCAGCUCUCUGUGAAGAAGUCACUUAAUGCAUUCCAAGUGCUAAUGCUUACAUUAAAAAGACUAAAACUUAA